rnacentral:rRNA from 1 species
UACGGAGGGUGCAAGCGUUGUCCGGAUUUAUUGGGUUUAAAGGGUGCGUAGGCGGCUUUUUAAGUCAGUGGUGAAAUUUUCCAGCUUAACUGGAAACGUGCCAUUGAUACUGGAAGGCUUGAGUACAGGCGAGGUUGGCGGAAUUGAAGGUGUAGCGGUGAAAUGCAUAGAUAUCUUCAAGAACACCGAUUGCGAAGGCAGCUAACUAGACUGUAACUGACGCUGAGGCACGAAAGUGCGGGGAUCGAACAGG